rnacentral:tmRNA from 2 species
GGGGUCGUUACGGAAUCGACUGGCAUUGUUUGGGCCGGUACUGCGUUUAGGGGUUGUGGCCCUAUAAUCCACUCAGUAGAAUUAACUGCAAAAAAUUCAAACAAUAAUUACGCAUUAGCUGCCUAAAAACCAGCUAGCGUUGCUUAUAGUUGUAUUAGUUGUGUGCUACUAUAAGUCUAAAAAUGAACAACCUGCGCUAAAUUCUCUCCGUCUGGGGCAAUUUAGAAGAGGAUAAUCAGACUAACUAAUUCGAUCGCUUAGCAAAACAGCGUGCGAUUAGCGAAUUUUAAAUUGUUUUGCUAUGAACGUAGAUGUAUCGGUUGCAAGAUGUUAGGACAGGGGUUCAACUCCCCUCGGCUCCAUAG